GUGAAGACUGUUGGCUUUUUUUGCGUUCUGUUUCUCUGUGGUAUUGAAGUGAAAACACCAAAUCCUCCUUCUCUGGCAUCCAGAUAUUACCCUCUUAGCUAGAGAACUAGACUAGUUGGUCAAAGAGACUCGUUUUGUUCUGGUCAGAUGGUGGCCUUUCAAGAAGUAAAUCCUCAAGCUUGAUGUCUUCUGUUAUGGAGGAAAGACCCUCAAAAAAUUUAAUUGGAAGUCAGUAUGCAUGGAUAGCUUCUUAGGCCUUGGAAGGAGGGCAACAUAAAACCAAAAACGUAUGACUUCAUCUUAGCACUUCUAAGAACAAUUUUUUUAACUCAAAUUUCCUUGAGGAAUAACUAAGAUAUCCCCCAAUGAUUCCCACGUCCUGAUAUCCAUGCCCUGUGUAAUUCCUUUCUGUUGACUGUAGGGCUUGACUCAGUGACUCAUUUUUAACAGAGUAUGACAAAAAUGAUGGGUGUCAUUUCUGAGGUUAGGUCACAAAAAGAUUUUAGCUUCUGUCUUGCUCUCUUGACUCCUCAUUGUGAUGCAAGCCCAGUGUCAACUUGUGAGCUGCUCUAUGGUGAGGCUGGCAGGACAAGGAACUGGGAGAGGCCACCAGCUCACAGCCAGCAAGGAACCAAGUCCUUGGUGCACCAGUCUGCAGAGAACUGGCAGCUGACAGCUGAGAGCAAUCUUCAGAUGAGACCACAGUCCUGGCUAAACUUGACUGCUACCUCAUGAGAAAUCCCAAGCCGGAGUACCCAAGACUUAAGAAGGUGAAACAGUUGAAAUGCUGAAAACAAAGGAAACACUUGUCCUAAGGUGGGAAGGAGUAUCUGUAGAAGCAGUUGACUCACUUGGAGAGUUUGUCUUUAAGACAGCAGUGAGAAUGGCCCUAAGAAUAAGAUCCUGGGUCUUCAUCAGUCUCUACCAAUGCUCUCAUGCUCUCUCUCUCUAUCAAAGAAGAAAAGAAAAAGAAAAGAAAAUGAAAGGGAAGAAAAGAAAAGAAAGAAAAGAAAAAAAGUGGAGGGAUAAACAAGCGAAGCAAUUUUCCAAGUUCACACAGCUAUUAAUGGACAGAGGCUCUGUAUACACGGUAGCCAACCCAUGCGAGAAAACAGCAACUGUGCUUCUGGAACUGACCUAGGGCAGCCACUGCUAGAAGGAAAAUCAGCAAUCUCUCCCUAUUUCAAAGAAAAAGUCAAUAAAAAUGUUCUUGGUGUUGA